AGAUUCCCUCAGUAACGGCGAGCGAAGAGGGAUAAGCUCAAAUUUUAAAUCUGUUGGGUUCCACUUAACAGAGUUGUAUUUUGAAGAAACGUUUUCUGCAUCCAGGAUUAGCCUAAAUCCUUUGGGAUAAGGUAUCAUGGAGGGUGAGAAUCCCGUUCAUGGUUAAUCUUAAGGAAGCUCUACGAUACGUUUUCCAAGAGUCGAGUUGUUUGGGAUUGCAGCUCAAAAUGGGAGGUAAAUUUCUCCUAAGGCUAAAUAUUGGCGAGAGACCGAUAGCGAACAAGUACCGUGAGGGAAAGAUGAAAAGAACUUUGAAAAGAGAGUUAAACAGUACGUGAAAUUGUUGAAAGGGAAACGAUUGAAGUCAGUCAUACCAACGGGAAAUCAACCUUUUGAGCUUGAUUUCGUGGGUUUUGAAGAGUUUCAAAGCCUUCGGAUUCGCGAGAUUGGGAUCUCUCGGUGUACUUUCUCGUACGGUUAGUCAACAUCGGUUUUGAAUGUCAUAAAAUGACUGGAGGAAUGUAGCUUCGAUCUCGUAUUGAAGUGUUAUAGCCUUUGGUAGAUGUGAUGUUUGAGACCGAGGAUUGCAACGGAUACCCUUCAGGGCUAUUCGUCUGAUCUCUGAUACGUUGCCUUGAUGUUGAAAGCUUGCUUAUGAUGUUAGGGUAUUACGGUCAAAAGGUUAGAACGAAUUACAUUCGUUAAGGAUGUUGACGUAAUGACUUUAAACGACC
rnacentral:rRNA from 1 species